rnacentral:lncRNA from 1 species
GCGGAUAAGAGAACGUGGCAGGAAAAGUUUAAGCAGAUAUGAGAAGAUAUGAGUUGACAGGAAAUCUGUAAGCUUUUGAAGAAAGUGAGACAGCAGGAAUCUAAAAAAGAUAGAAAAGACUGCACUCAGAAAAUAAUUCAUGUAUCAUUAUUGUAAUACAUUAUUGAAAGGCUAUUGUAUGGCUGUAAUCAAAACCGGGAUCUCUAUAUAAGAGACCUUAUUGUAACAUUGAAAAUCAUCAGUUCUUGAAAUACAUCUUAAAUUUCUCUACACUUACUCUUCUUAUGGCAAACUAAACUUCUUCUCCUACAAUCUACGACAGAAAAACAUGUUCAUCAAUAAGAUAUCAUAUACAAAUAUUAUCUAUUUGUCAUCAUAAGUUAUAUCAUUUAAAGCAGAGAUGGUGGAUAUCUGUCGAGCAACCUGGUUGCAGAGCCUGUUAGACGGGAGGUCAUAAAAGGGCAUAGCAGAGAUCAGGGACUCCGGUGAGCCAAUCUGUUUAAAUAGUAUGAUUUAUUUUGAUAAAUAAGAUAGGAUUUUUAUAUGAUAUCUAUAAUUCAUGUUAUGCAUGAUAUUGAUGAAAAAUGUUUAGAAGUUAUAGAUUGUAGAUUUUAUUUAAAACAUGAUUGUUUUUGUUGUAAGUUCUAAUUGCCUACCCUCUUUAGGGUUUAUUAGAUAUAAGAAACGAUCCCCUUUAUCCUCUCGGUAUUUUGGUAUCAGAGCAAAAUACACUAUAUUCUCAAAGGUGUUUUUUAAGAAAGGUGAUUACACUAUGUUUAAAAAUUUUGGAUACAAAAGGUUGGAUCUUUGUUGGGCAGUUUAAUUAUUGGAUCUUUGAGAAUGGAAGGGUUAUGGGAGGUGAUAGUUGCAGCAAGUAUUGAUUAUCGGAAAAUGAAUAUUAUCUCCAGAGUUUUAUGCUUAGAUACAUCGGUCUGAUAUACCCUAUGCCCUCAUCUUGUGAUUUAUUUGAAAUCCAUUAUUGGAAGUAACACAUCUGAUUGGAAUAUAUUGCGAGCGGGCUUACUGCUCACCUAAGCAUAUAUGUGAUGCAUAAUGCAUAGUUGGUGGGUAAAAGAGGCUGUACGCUUGAAAAAGUAAUAUGGUUAUUUGAUGGUGGAAAUAUUUAUUUUAGACAAGUCGGGCUCACUGCUCACCUAUGCAUAUAUGUGAUGCUUAAUGCAUAGUUGGUGGGUAAAAAAUGUUGUAUCCUUGAAAAAGUACUAUGGUUAUUUGAUGGUGGAAAUAGGCAUUCUAGACGAUUAUUUGAUGGUGGAAAUAGGCAUUUUAGACGAUUUUUCCAAUUGUAAUAACUAGGGGUGUUCAAAAUAUCCGUCAAACCGCACACCCGAACCGAACCAUAACAAUCCAAACAAAAAAAACCCGGAACUGCUAGAAACGUUGUUGAUGAUUCGGUUAACCAGACCAUUCAAUUAUAAAUGGUUUGGUUAUGGUUUUUAAUAUACGAAAACGGGUUAAAGCUAACCGGACCGUUACAUAUUAAUACAUAAAAAUAUGUAAUAUAUAUAAUUAUACAUUGAGACUAGAAUUUAUAAUUUGAUACAUAAANCUAUUGUAUGGCUGUAAUCAAAACCGGGAUCUCUAUAUAAGAGACCUUAUUGUAACAUUGAAAAUCAUCAGUUCUUGAAAUACAUCUUAAAUUUCUCUACACUUACUCUUCUUAUGGCAAACUAAACUUCUUCUCCUACAAUCUACGACAGAAAAACAUGUUCAUCAAUAAGAUAUCAUAUACAAAUAUUAUCUAUUUGUCAUCAUAAGUUAUAUCAUUUAAAGCAGAGAUGGUGGAUAUCUGUCGAGCAACCUGGUUGCAGAGCCUGUUAGACGGGAGGUCAUAAAAGGGCAUAGCAGAGAUCAGGGACUCCGGUGAGCCAAUCUGUUUAAAUAGUAUGAUUUAUUUUGAUAAAUAAGAUAGGAUUUUUAUAUGAUAUCUAUAAUUCAUGUUAUGCAUGAUAUUGAUGAAAAAUGUUUAGAAGUUAUAGAUUGUAGAUUUUAUUUAAAACAUGAUUGUUUUUGUUGUAAGUUCUAAUUGCCUACCCUCUUUAGGGUUUAUUAGAUAUAAGAAACGAUCCCCUUUAUCCUCUCGGUAUUUUGGUAUCAGAG